UGGCUGAACAGGGGAAGCCCAAAUUUGUAAUCUGGCACUUUUUACGAGUGUCCGAGUUGUAAUUUGUAGAACUGUUAUCCGUGCUGGACCAUGUACAAGUCUGUUGAAAAGCAGCAUCAUUGAAGGUGAAAAUCCUGUAGAUGAUAUGGACUACCAGUACUUUUGUGAUACGGUUUCUAAGAGUCGAGUUGUUUGGGAAUGCAGCUCAAAGUGGGUGGUAAAUUCCAUCUAAGGCUAAAUAUAAGUGAGAGACCGAUAGCAAACAAGUACCGUGAGGGAAAGAUGAAAAGAACUUUGAAAAUAGAGUUAACAGUACGUGAAAUUGCUGAAAGGGAAACGUUUGAAGUUAGUUUUGUAUUCGUUGGAUCAGCUUCGCAAGGAGUGUAUUCUGAUGAUAAGCAAGUCAACAUCAGUCUAUGAGUGACGGAGAAGGGUUUUGAGAAUGUAGCAAUUUAAUUGUGUUAUAGCUUGAGACUUGGAUACGAUGCUUUGGAUUGAGGAACGCGUAGUAAGCUUUGAGCGGAUUCGAAAGGAUCUCCUUGCUAUGGAUGUUGGUGAAAUAACUUUAAGCGACCCGUCUUGAAACACGGACCAAGGAGUCUAACAUGCUUGCGAGUAUUAGGGUGUUGAAACCCAAAUGCGUAAUGAAAGUGAAUCUAAGAUGUGAUCCGCAAGGUGCAACAUCGGCCGGUCUGGAUCAUUUAUGUGAAGGUACUGAGCAAGAGCAAGUAUGUUAGGACCCGAAAGAUGGUGAACUAUGCCUGGAUAGGGUGAAGUCAGAGGAAACUCUGAUGGAAGCUCGUAGCGGUUCUGACGUGCAAAUCGAUCGUAGAAUCUGGGUAUAGGGGCGAAAGACUAAUCGAACCAUCUAGUAGCUGGUUCCUGCCGAAGUUUCCCUCAGGAUAGCAAAGACUUUAAUUAGUUUUAUGAGGUAAAGCGAAUGAUUAGGGUUGGGAAUUUAACUAUUCUC
rnacentral:rRNA from 1 species